AUGACAAAGAUGAUGCCACGUGACACUACAACAAUGGUGCCCAGUGGAUCAAGCAACCCGACGAUAGCAGUGGCAACAGCAGGGAAGAUUCCGUUCCCGCAACUGACAAGGACAAACUACGCAGCAUGGGAAAUGAGGAUGAAGUACCUCUUGCGAGCGCAUGGUGCAUGGGGUGUCGUUUAUCGUGAGAGCUCGUCCAAGGAGGUUGAUGAAAGCAAGGAGGAGCUAGCCAUGACAGUCAUCUCACAGUCAAUCGACGACGUGACGCUACUACGAGUUGCAGAAAAGGAGUCCGCGUCUGAUGUGUGGGCGGUGCUACACUCCAUACAUGUGGGUGUUGAGCGCGUCCGAGAGUCAAGGAUCCAGUCCUUGCACUCUGAAUUUGAUAACCUCAAGAUGGCUGAUGGCGAGUCUGUGGAUGAUUUUGCGACGAAGUUCAUGACACUCGUGGGGCAUAUUCGUGAACUCGGAGACCCAAUGGAGGAGAAGUACGUGGUGAAGAAGUUGUUGCGAGCCGUCUCCAAAAAAUUCAUCCAUGUUGCUUCAUCAAUUGCGCUGUUUAGUGAUGUCAACAAAAUGGCCAUGGAGGAGGCCAUUGGAUCACUUAAGGCGCAUGAGGAGCUUCUAAAAGGGAUGGAGCCGAGAGGUGUAGAAGAGAAACUUCUUAUGACCAGAGGACACGACUCGUCGCGGGGACGAGGUCGUGGUCGCCGUCGUAGCUAUGGACGUGGAGGAGGACUCAAAGAUAAAAGUGAGAUUCAGUGCUAUAGCUGUCAUGAGUAUGGACAUUUUUCAUAUGAGUGUCCAGAGAAGAAACACAAAGCACUCCUUGCUCAUCGUGAUGAUGAUGAGCCAGCACUCCUGUGA
rnacentral:rRNA from 1 species